rnacentral:rRNA from 1 species
UACGGGGGGGGCAAGCGUUGUUCGGAAUUACUGGGCGUAAAGGGCGCGUAGGCGGUUGGAUAAGUCAGCUGUGAAAACCACGGGCUUAACUCGUGGCCUGCAGUUGAGACUGUCUGGCUUGAGUGUGGGAGAGGAGAGUGGAAUUCCUGGUGUAGCGGUGAAAUGCGUAGAUAUCAGGAGGAACACCGGUGGCGAAGGCGGCUCUCUGGGACGGUACUGACGCUGAGACGCGAAAGCGUGGGGAGCGAACAGG